GAGGCGGGAGGAUCGCUUGAGCCCAGGAGUUUGAGGCUGCUGCGAGCUGUGAUCAUACCACUGCACUCCAGCCUGGAUGACGGAGCAAGA
rnacentral:miRNA from 1 species